UACUUCCCGGUUAAUCGUUUCACCGUCUACUCUCCUCCCCUAGUUUAGGGAUCGCGUCGGAGUUAAGGGCAGCCCGGACCGAUGUAGAGGAGGAGGGGGUUGGAGGAAGAGGUGGAGGCCGGCGGCGGUACCGGACCAGCCGCACCAUCCACGCGGUAGGUAGAGGUGGUAGACGAAGUGUCGUGGUGGAGGAUGGUGGUGUAGGUGGUAGUCGCGGAGGUUGGUAGGUCAGUAGUGGCGGCGGUGGUCGCGGCGUAGAGGUGGUGUAGACGUCGGGUAGCCGACGAGGAGGAGAGAAGAGAGUUUCGGGGACGACGAAGAAGGAAGAGGUUGGUGGACAACGACGGAGGAGAAGGGGUUCGGGUUGACAACAAAGAAAGAACAACGCGGGGACGAAGAAGGGGGGGGGGGGGAGGAACGACGAUGAGGAAGGAGAGUGCAGGGGACGACGACGAGAAGAAGAACGCGGCUAGACGACGACGAGACGAAGGAGGUGAUUUGACGACGCGGAGACGAGGAAGAGACUUGGCUUGACGACGACGAGGGAGAGGGUGCUCGGACAACGACGAGAAGAGAGGGAUUACGGGAACGAAGUAGAGACUUGGGUAGAGACAAUGACAAGAAGAAGUGGUUUGAGAGUGACGACGACAAGGAAAGGAAGUGAGACAAAGAGAUGUAAGAGUUCAUUAAAACCACAUGGUACUAACACACUACUGCUCUAUACAAGUCAGGUCUCUGUGCAAUAACAAGAACGAAUAAACAUCGAGCUACACUAUGAUCAUGACAAUACACAAACACAAGUGAUCAAUUUAAAUAGUGGAUACAUGAUGAACGACAUCUUUGAACGAUGUAAAAUAUCAGGAACACGAUCGGUACAUGGAUACUAUGUUCACAAAAAAUACACUAUAUAUAAACAAAACAGGAUGUAUGAACAAAGAAGGGAGACAAUUUACAAUUUAUCAAUAUAUAUACAAGUACAGAAAAGUUAAGGGAUCGGCAACUACAUACGGACACAAUCGUAAAAUAAAGAGUUCAUUUUACUUUUGUGGUUUUUUAUGUAACUCAUUUUAGACUUUGAGGGAUACGAUCAAACAAUAAAAGGGGCAACUAUCAAAAGACCUUGCUAGAAUCUAUCAAAUCCAAUAAUAAAAGAACGUUAGAAGAGAAUGUAAACACGAUGGAUCGAAAUCGGUUCAUGCCAGUAGCUAAACGGAUCAGGGACUCCUCUUAUACUGUAGGCAUCAAACCCGCAUUUUUGGGACGAUAUGAAUGUUAACUAGUAAAACCGCGGCAACUGCCCCUGAUCGUAGCUCGCUAAAACAAACCGAUAUCUGAUCCAAAAUGAACAAAAGAGAAACACGGAAUAUAAACACAAUAUAGAGAAUGGGGAUUAGUGACAAGAUCAAUAGAAAAGAAAGAAAAUAACAAGUAAAACAUCCGACUUAACAGAAGAACCUUUACCGUAAGAUGAGUCUAGUAGUACGAAUACACUCGUUAUCGUGUUUAUCGAGCCUUUCACAACUUCUGGACUAUUCCGGUAAGUGGGUGACUUACAGUCGCACCAAUGAGAGUGGGAGGCCUAACAAAACCAUACUCGAAACGAGUUGUUGUAUCGAGUACGGUUUUGUUAAUGUGUGUACCCACCGGACUUUUGGUCUUAUACGGUAUAUCCUUGUUGUUGGGUCUCUAGAGUGGCAAACGAAGAUCAUUAGUAUACGCCCCUAAAUCCAUACCUAUCCUCUCGUUGUUGAUACGUGGUGUUUUUAAAAUAAGUGGAGGAUGAGUAUAUGAGGGAGACAAGGCUUAAUGAACAGCGUCCAUACCUACAUAAAUCUACAUAAAAUCAAGAUCUAUGUAGGUAAAGACGCUGCUCAUUAAACCUUGCCUCCCUCAUGGAGUUGUGGUCCUCUACAACGGUUACCUCAAUUUACCAGGAGGUAAACCAGUUGGUUGUGGAAGUUGUGUUCACGGGUGUGUUCUACUAAAACUACUAUAUCCGUUCGAGCGUAACGAAUCAGAGCUCAAGUGAACCUCACGACUUCUACUAGGUUAAUCCGGCCACUAUGAUCUACUUCACUUCUUCUAGUUCUCACCCUUACUCGAUCACCUUCUUCAUUCCUUCUAACUCUUCUUGUAGUUGCGACUGUCGUGAUAAAGAAGUGUCGAUCUCGACUCAUAAAGACCCUAUAAGGAACUAUGUACACUCCAGGGUUGUGGAAGUGUAAGUCGGCUCGUUCUAUCGCUCUCAGGUCUCCUUCUCUAUGAAGUCUAGGUUCUUCUUUAAGAGCUUCGGUUCUGUGUUCUACACUAGGUCUCGAGCUUAUGGGUUUACUUGUUCAACUUCUAGGUUACAAGUAGAGAAAGUUUCUUCAUUUUCUUCGACAACAUCUACUUCUACUUCUUGGACUCUAAGUAAACGGAUAACAGUAUGUUCUCGUACUACACAGUCCAAGUAGGUUAGGAGAAUUACUGUACAGGGUAAUACAAAACAAACUAAGAUGGAACGAAAUGUACUACGGUAGUGAAUUCCAUCUAAACUUCUUCACAAACGAACCUAUACUACUAUGUAUAUGACAACCACCGUAACGAGCAUAAUUACUACUAGUGUGAAUAAAAAGAGUACGGUUUGGAUACGAAUUCCUAUUUAUAGUAGAAUUACGAUCAUAACUCGAACAACUAAGGAUAGUAUGAGCAGUACAAGAUAUAAUGAUACGAAUAUAUUAACCUAUAAGCUAACUGCUGAAUCUCCCGUAGCUGGGAUAGUGAGCAUCAACAACAAACACACUCAGGAUAAAGUCCAAAAACGAAGACGUGGCAAGUGAAGUACAAUUGGUCCAAGCUCCACUGUAAGGGACCCUGGGACCACCUGAGCCUCGUACCACUACUCCUCUUCGUCCCCCCGUGUGUGCUUCUUCUAACUUCGACCUCGCAGGUACUCCUUCGUUUCCUCUUCUCGACGUCAAAUCUCUCACUAGCUCGCUCACGAUGAAGUAAUUCGGGCCACUCGACAAAGUACUGGGUAAGGUUUAUGAUAGUAGUAGGUAACUAUGUACGACUUUAUUAAACUGUAAACCCAACGAACUCGGUAAAGAAUUUAUCACGGUACGACUUAAAAUGGAAACUGUAUACCACGAACUACACUUAUACACUCAACUAACAACUUACGGAACAUUUGAUCACUAGAUGUGUUAGGAACGAAACGAUUUUAAUCACUCUUGAUAAUCAAAAAUCACGAGUUUAGGGAUCAUGUGAUCUUUUGACAGUAAAAGACGCAAAUGAUACUAUGUGGAUCUAGUGGUACAAAUCUACGACUUAAACACGGUUCACACAAGGGUAAGUCUCGUUAGUGGAUUGGUGAUACCUCAUCGUACGAUACAAGGGACUUAGCCAUCAUACACUUGCUCUGGACCUACUCACUACUAAGCACAAAGGAAGAACAUAAGUAAACAAUUUAUUCAUUAUUACUUAUUUAUUCAGACUGAUGGAUGUCAUCGUACAGUACAAGGGACCUAGCCACCGUACACUCUAGCCCAAUCGAACCCGUCAUUAAUUAUUAUUUUUACAUUAACAGCUUGGUCCACAUAUGGUACAAGAGACCUAGCCACCAUACAAGGAAACCCCUCUGUUUAUUUUUUUGAUUAUUAACCAACUCGGUCCACAUAUGGUACAAGAACCCUAGCUACCUGACAAGGAAAUCACUCUGGCUACUUUAUAACAAGAGCCCUAGUACGAGAGAAAUCCUUGGUAAACCGUGUCAGUAGUAAAUUUGAACAACUAGGAGAAAAUAGUAACAUUUUCAAAUUUUACCAGUACGAAUGAUCAUACGAUGACGAAACAUAAUGAGAAUUGGUAGUUAAGAGUGAUCGAUUCAGGUUUCGUACGUAACAAACCUCUAGAUGAAGUGAACCAGUAAGAGUUCAGUCCAGUGACAAGUGAUAGAUGAACAGUAUAAGGAAAUGAACUCCUGUUCAUUUCUAAAUUCACACCCCCUUGAACUAUUCGUGUAAAGUAUAUGUAUUAAAACCGUAUCUUUAUAUGGUAAACAACUCAAGACUGGUAGUUAAGAACGAUACUUUAUAAAUUAUAAACUUACUAUAAGUACUUUCUCGUACAACUGAUCACUUAACAAACAAAACGUCUUUUCACGCGUUUCCGUGAUAUUUGAAGUUCUAAGCCAGCCUAACGGUUUGCGCUACUCUGAACCCCGAACUUGCUCUCUUGCUCCCUGGGCUCGCUCUUCUUUUCUUCAUUGGCUCCCCGUUUUCUUACUAUCUUCCUAGAAGAACACUUCUUCCUUCUUCUCUACUUCCCGGUUAAUCGUUUGACCGUCUACUCUCCUCCCCUAGUUUAGGGAUCCCGUUGGAGUUAAGGGGAGCCCGGACCGAUGUAGAGGAAGAGGGGGUUGGAGGAAGAGGUGGAGGCCGGCGGCGGUGCCGGUCCAGCCGCACCAUCCACACGGUAGGUAGAGGUGGUAGGCGAAGUGUCGUAGUGGAGGAUGGUGGUGUAGGUGGUAGUCGCGGAGGUUGGUAGGUCAGUAGUGCCGGCGGUGGUCGCGGCGUAGAGGUGGUGUAGACGACGGGUAGCCGACGAGGAGAGAAAAGAGUUUCGGGGACAACGAAGAAGGAAGAGGUUGGAGGACAACGACGGAGGAGAAGGGGUUCGGGGUGACGACGUAGAAAGAACAACGCGGGGACGAAGAAGAAGAGGGAGAGGAACGACGAUGAGGAAGGAGAGUGCAGGCAGGGGGACGACGACGAGAAGAAGAACGCGGGUAGACGACGACGAGACGAAGGAGGUGAUUUGACGACGAUGGAGACGAGGAAGAGACUUGGCUUGACGACGACGAGGGAGAGGGUGCUCGGACGACGACGAGAAGAGAGGAACUACGGGAACGAAGUAGAGACUUGGGUAGAGACAACGACAAGAAGUGGUUUGAGAGUGACGACGACAAGGAAAGGAAGUGAGACAAAGAGAUGUAAGAGUUCAUUAAAACCACAUGGUACUAACACACUACUACUCUAUACAAGUCAGGUCUCUGUGUAAUAACAAGAACGAAUAAACAUCGAGCUACACUAUGAUCAUGACAAUACACAAACACAAGUGAUCAAUUUAACUAACGAUACACCUUGAAGACAUCAAAACAUCGAAUAAACAUUAUUAAUAAUUUCUCUUG
rnacentral:rRNA from 1 species